UACAGAGGGUGCAAGCGUUAAUCGGAAUUACUGGGCGUAAAGCGCGCGUAGGUGGUUUGUUAAGUUGAAUGUGAAAUCCCCGGGCUCAACCUGGGAACUGCAUCCAAAACUGGCAAGCUAGAGUAGGGCAGAGGGUGGUGGAAUUUCCUGUGUAGCGGUGAAAUGCGUAGAUAUAGGAAGGAACACCAGUGGCGAAGGCGACCACCUGGCUCAUACUGACGCUGAGGCACGAAAGCGUGGGUAGCAAACAGG
rnacentral:rRNA from 1 species